rnacentral:rRNA from 1 species
UACGUAGGGUGCAAGCGUUGUCCGGAAUUUAUUGGGCGUAAAGAGCUCGUAAGGCGGUCUGUCACGUCGGAUGUGAAAAUCCAGGGCUUAACCCUGGACCUGCAUUUGAUACGGGCAGACUAGAGUUCGGUAGGGGAGACGUGGAAUUCCUGGUGUAGCGGUGAAAUGCGCAGAUAUCAGGAGGAACACCGGUGGCGAAGGCGGGUCUCUGGGCCGAUACUGACGCUGAAGCGCGAAAGUCAGGGGAGCGAACAGG